GACGAACGCUGGCGGCGUGCUUAACACAUGCAAGUCGAACGGAAAGGCCCUGCUUUUGUGGGGUGCUCGAGUGGCGAACGGGUGAGUAACACGUGAGUAACCUGCCCUUGACUUUGGGAUAACUUCAGGAAACUGGGGCUAAUACCGGAUAGGAGCUCCUGCUGCAUGGUGGGGGUUGGAAAGUUUCGGCGGUUGGGGAUGGACUCGCGGCUUAUCAGCUUGUUGGUGGGGUAGUGGCUUACCAAGGCUUUGACGGGUAGCCGGCCUGAGAGGGUGACCGGCCACAUUGGGACUGAGAUACGGCCCAGACUCCUACGGGAGGCAGCAGUGGGGAAUACUGCACAAUGGGCGGAAGCCUGAUGCAGCAACGCCGCGUGCGGGAUGACGGCCUUCGGGUUGUAAACCGCUUUCGCCUGUGACGAAGCGUGAGUGACGGUAAUGGGUAAAGAAGCACCGGCUAACUACGUGCCAGCAGCCGCGGUGAUACGUAGGGUGCGAGCGUUGUCCGGAUUUAUUGGGCGUAAAGGGCUCGUAGGUGGUUGAUCGCGUCGGAAGUGUAAUCUUGGGGCUUAACCCUGAGCGUGCUUUCGAUACGGGUUGACUUGAGGAAGGUAGGGGAGAAUGGAAUUCCUGGUGGAGCGGUGGAAUGCGCAGAUAUCAGGAGGAACACCAGUGGCGAAGGCGGUUCUCUGGGCCUUUCCUGACGCUGAGGAGCGAAAGCGUGGGGAGCGAACAGGCUUAGAUACCCUGGUAGUCCACGCUGUAAACGGUGGGUACUAGGUGUGGGGUCCAUUCCACGGGUUCCGUGCCGUAGCUAACGCUUUAAGUACCCCGCCUGGGGAGUACGGCCGCAAGGCUAAAACUCAAAGGAAUUGACGGGGCCCCGCACAAGCGGCGGAGCAUGCGGAUUAAUUCGAUGCAACGCGUAGAACCUUACCUGGGUUUGACAUGGAUCGGGAGUGCUCAGAGAUGGGUGUGCCUCUUUUGGGGUCGGUUCACAGGUGGUGCAUGCCUGUCGUCAGCUCGUGUCGUGAGAUGUUGGGUUAAGUCCCGCAACGAGCGCAACCCUUGUUCACUGUUGCCAGCACGUUAUGGUGGGGACUCAGUGGAGACCGCCGGGGUCAACUCGGAGGAAGGUGGGGAUGACGUCAAGUCCUCAUGCCCCUUAUGUCCAGGGCUUCACGCAUGCUACAAUGGCUGGUACAGAGAGUGGCGAGCCUGUGAGGGUGAGCGAAUCUCGGAAAGCCGGUCUCAGUUCGGAUUGGGGUCUGCAACUCGACCUCAUGAAGUCGGAGUCGCUAGUAAUCGCAGAUCAGCAACGAUGCGGUGAAUACGUUCCCGGGGC
rnacentral:rRNA from 1 species